CUGGAUCAACAUGGAAUUGACCAUUGGACAUGUAAAAACAGAACGUAAGAAGAAUCUGUGUGGAUUAGGCAAGGUUAACCAACAAGACGUGUCUGGUCAACAAGAGGUGUGCAGAGUCCUGGAACCCUUUGAGCAGGUUACUGUGGAGAUCAGUGGAGAGAGGCUGCAAUCCACUCCCAGUCAGACGGAGUCCGUUCAGGCCUCCGUCAGCUCCACAAUGCCUUGGAGGCCGUGAAGGACAUCCAGAACUCCCUGGCAGAAGUCAGCAAUGACUGGAGGCAAAGCAUAAACACCAUUGAGACCCUGAAGGAUGUACAAUAUGCAGGGAUGGCACACAAUCAGCUAGCCUCAGCUAAUUUUCAAGUAUUUUCAGCUGCACUAUUACAUACCACUUGAUUGGGAACUAUUAUUGUUGGCUUACAUUUUGCAUUCGAUGUGACACUGUACAGUUGCAAUGUAUUUGUGUAUUAAUAUUUCUCCUCCCUAUGCAAUGUCUGAGACACUCCGUUAAUGAUAGAGCAAGCCAAGCUGCUGGAGGGCCACCACAAGCUGAUGAACCUGGAGUGCUCAUGGAAUGACCUCUUGUACGAUCAGUACCGGUAUGGGCAGCAAUAAACACGAACAACAUGAACCUCAUUCAAAACUACUUUGGCAAGGUGCAGGGCCUGUCGGAGGACCUGGACAAGCAACUGUUGAUAGUGCUGCAGAGUAUCAUGGGCAAAGGCUGGAGGCCACAGUGAGCGGUGCUUCUUCUUCAAACUCUACCACAACAUGGUGUCCGUGAGGGUGCAGGAACUGGCUGCAGAGGACCUGACGGCCAACAAGAUCGUGUCCCUCCUCACCUUGGUCCUCAAUUAAUACUUAACAAAAGUAAGUCUGUACUGCCCUCUCUGUUACACAUGUAGCGUUAGUGAUACUGGGCACUAGUCCAAUUAUACCUUUCUAUUCUAAUGUUGCUGACAGUGGUUUGAACUAUACUGAACAAAAAUAUAAAUAUAUAAACAAAAAUAUAAACGUAACGUGAAGUGAAGUGUUGUCACGUCUUCUCCGGCGCUUGACGUCGCCGGUCUACUAACCACCGGUCCUGGUAACCCAUCAUUACGCACACCUGCGCCUCAUCAUUUGCAACACCUGGACUUCAUCACUUCCCUGAUUAUUUCCCAUUUAUUUAGCCCUCUUUUGUCAUCAGGAGGUGUUAUUGUUUUUUCUCUCAGAUUCAGUACGUGUCCCAUGUUUGUUCUUUUGUAUCUGUUCAGUAUUAAAACUCACCAUCUGCACCUGC